UACGUAGGUGGCAAGCGUUAUCCGGAAUCAUUGGGCGUAAAGGGUGCGUAGGCGGUUUUUUAAGUCUGUAGUGAAAUCGUGGAGCUCAACUCCAUCAAGCUACAGAAACUGGGGAACUAGAGUGCGGUAGAGGUUAGUGGAAUUCCAUGUGUAGCGGUAAAAUGCGUAGAUAUAUGGAGGAACACCGGUGGCGAAGGCGGCUAACUGGGCCGUAACUGACGCUGAGGCACGAAAGCGUGGGGAGC
rnacentral:rRNA from 1 species